rnacentral:rRNA from 1 species
CAUUGAUACUGUCAGUCUUGAGUAUAGUUGAAGUGGGCGGAAUGUAGCAUGUAGCGGUGAAAUGCAUAGAUAUGCUACAGAACACCAAUAGCGAAGGCAGCUCACUAAGUUAUAACUGACGCUCAUGCACGAAAGCGUGGGGAUCAAACAGGAUUAGAUACCCUGGUAGUCCACGCUGUAAACGAUGAUCACUCGUUGUUGGCAAUACAUCGUCAGCGACUAAGCGAAAGUGAUAAGUGAUCCACCUGGGGAGUACGGUCGCAAGAUUGAAACUCAAAGGAAUUGACGGGGGCCCGCACAAGCGGUGGAGCAUGUGGUUUAAUUCGAUGAUACGCGAGGAACCUUACCUGGGCUCAAACGCAUGAUGACGUAUGGUGAAAGCUAUAUUUCUUCGGACAUUAUGCGAGGUGCUGCAUGGUUGUCGUCAGCUCGUGCCGUGAGGUGUCGGGUUAAGUCCCAUAACGAGCGCAACCCCUAUCAUUAGUUGCCAUCAGGUCAAGCUGGGGACUCUAAUGAAACUGCCUACGCAAGUAGUGAGGAAGGCGGGGAUGACGUCAAAUCAGCACGGCCCUUACGUCCAGGGCUACACACGUGCUACAAUGGCCAGUACAAAGGGCAGCUACCUGGUGACAGGAUGCUAAUCUCAAAA